rnacentral:rRNA from 1 species
AGUGAACGCUGGCGGUAGGCCUAACACAUGCAAGUCGAACGGCAGCACAGUAAGAGCUUGCUCUUACGGGUGGCGAGUGGCGGACGGGUGAGGAAUACAUCGGAAUCUACUUUUUCGUGGGGGAUAACGUAGGGAAACUUACGCUAAUACCGCAUACGACCUACGGGUGAAAGCAGGGGAUCUUCGGACCUUGCGCGAUUGAAUGAGCCGAUGUCGGAUUAGCUAGUUGGCGGGGUAAAGGCCCACCAAGGCGACGAUCCGUAGCUGGUCUGAGAGGAUGAUCAGCCACACUGGAACUGAGACACGGUCCAGCCUCCUACGGGAGGCAGCAGUGGGGAAUAUUGGACAAUGGGCGCAAGCCUGAUCCAGCCAUACCGCGUGGGUGAAGAAGGCCUUCGGGUUGCAAAGCCCUUUUGUUGGGAAAGAAAAGCAGCAGGUUAAUACCCCGCUGUUCUGACGGUACCCAAAGAAUAAGCACCGGCUAACUUCGUG